AACGAACGCUGGCGGCGUGGAUAAGACAUGCAAGUCGAACGGGACAACAUCUGUAGCAAUACAGGUGUUGUUUAGUGGCGAACGGGUGCGUAACACGUGGGCAAUCUGCCGAGAAGUGGGGAUAGCUCGCCGAAAGGCCGAAUUAAUACCGCAUACGAUCAGCUAAGACAUCUUAGCGACAUCAAAGCCGGGUAACCUGGCGCUACUCGAUGAGCCCGCGGCCUAUCAGC
rnacentral:rRNA from 1 species